rnacentral:rRNA from 1 species
UAUGGUGUGUGCCAGCAGCCGCGGUAAUACGUAUGGAGCAAGCGUUAUCCGGAUUUACUGGGUGUAAAGGGUGCGUAGGUGGCAGUGCAAGUCAGAUGUGAAAGGCCGGGGCUCAACCCUGGAGCUGCAUUUGAAACUGCAUAGCUAGAGUACAGGAGAGGCAGGCGGAAUUCCUAGUGUAGCGGUGAAAUGCGUAGAUAUUAGGAGGAACACCAGUGGCGAAGGCGGCCUGCUGGACUGUUACUGACACUGAGGCACGAAAGCGUGGGGAGCAAACAGG